rnacentral:rRNA from 1 species
CCUACGGGAGGCAGCAGUAGGGAAUCUUCCACAAUGGACGAAAGUCUGAUGGAGCAACGCCGCGUGAGGGAAGAAGGGUUUCGGCUCGUAAAGCUCUGUUGUUAGUGAAGAAAGAUGGAGGUAGUAACUGGCCUUUAUUUGACGGUACUUACUUAGAAAGUCACGGCUAACUACGUGCCAGCAGCCGCGGUAAUACGUAGGUGGCAAGCGUUGUCCGGAUUUAUUGGGCGUAAAGCGAGUGCAGGCGGUUAAAUAAGUCUGAUGUGAAAGCCUUCGGCUCAACCGGAGUAAAGCAUCAGAAACUGGUGAACUAGAGUGCAGAAGAGGAGAGUGGAACUCCAUGUGUAGCGGUGGAAUGCGUAGAUAUAUGGAGGAACACCAGUGGCGAAGGCGGCUCUCUGGGCUGCAACUGACGCUGAGGCUCGAAAGCAUGGGUAGCGAACAGGAUUAGAUACCCUAGUAGUC